rnacentral:rRNA from 1 species
GUGCCAGCCGCCGCGGUAAUACCGGCAGCCCGAGUGAUGGCCGAUCUUAUUGGGCCUAAAGCGUCCGUAGCUGGGUGUGCAAGUCCAUCGGGAAAUCCACUCGCUCAACGAGUGGGCGUCCGACGGAAACUGCACAGCUUGGGACCGGAAGGCUCGAAGGGUACGUUCGGGGUAGGAGUGAAAUCCUGUAAUCCCGCACGGACCACCGAUGGCGAAAGCACUUCGAGAAAACGGAUCCGACAGUGAGGGACGAAAGCUAAGAUCGCGAACCGGAUUAGAUACCCGAGUAGUCC